rnacentral:rRNA from 1 species
CCUACGGGCUGCUGCAGUGGGGAAUAUUGGACAAUGGGCGAAAGCCUGAUCCAGCCAUGCCGCGUGUGUGAAGAAGGCCUUCGGGUUGUAAAGCACUUUCAGUGGGGAAGAAAGCCUUGGGGCUAAUACCCUCGAGGAAGGACAUCACCCACAGAAGAAGCACCGGCUAACUCCGUGCCAGCAGCCGCGGUAAUACGGAGGGUGCGAGCGUUAAUCGGAAUUACUGGGCGUAAAGCGCGCGUAGGCGGUCUGAUAAGCCGGUUGUGAAAGCCCCGGGCUCAACCUGGGAACGGCAUCCGGAACUGUCAGGCUAGAGUGCAGGAGAGGAAGGUAGAAUUCCCGGUGUAGCGGUGAAAUGCGUAGAGAUCGGGAGGAAUACCAGUGGCGAAGGCGGCCUUCUGGACUGACACUGACGCUGAGGUGCGAAAGCGUGGGUAGCAAACAGGAGUAGAUACCCCUGUAGUC